CCUACGGGAGGCAGCAGUGGGGAAUAUUGCACAAUGGGGGAACCCUGAUGCAGCGACGCCGCGUGGAGGAAGAAGGUCUUCGGAUUGUAAACUCCUGUUGUUGAGGAAGAUAAUGACGGUACUCAACAAGGAAGUGACGGCUAACUACGUGCCAGCAGCC
rnacentral:rRNA from 1 species